UCUACAGAAGCAAAGUCCAGAGAUGUCCAGAGAUGGGAGUGGGGGAGAGAGAGCCUCGUUGUGAUGUCACCUGAGCUCCUGGGUCCAGCUUGUUUCAUGAGCUGAGAGUUGCUGAAUUCCCAAGUGCUCUCCAUUCCUCUGAUGCUCCUGGACAGCCAAGGUGCUGACAAGCUUUGGCCAGUAGGCUGCUUUCUGGCAUCCAAGGUCACCUCAUUAUGGCACUGUGCGAAGACAGCACCCCAAAGGGGCCAUCGAUUUGGAACAUCUGAUCGGCUUUCUGAGUCAGAUCCACUAGCUCGUAAAAUCCAAUAAAUGUCAAAGAUAUGUCAGGCCCAUUAGCCUCUGGAGGUCUAUUAAAAGACUCUGCUUCUGCUAAGGAGAUUCUGUUACUGUCACAUGGACACCAGGGCAGCCAAUUCUAAACCCUUGAAUUUAGAAAGUUAGGAAGGAGAUACGAUUUCACAUGGGAUCGCCUGGUCUCUACUGGUUUUGUCAGAAGACUCUGCCCUUUCUUCCACUCAGACAUACAGAGCAUCUGUUGGCGUGACCAGCUCUGUGACAAGUAUGUGGGGGAAACAUUCUAGAACUUCUUUUCCUGCCUCCAAGAAAAUUAACCCAAACCCUCUUCAUAAUACUGCAUGAGCAUUUCUUCCUUACAGUCCCAUACAGCACUGAAGCAUUAUUGUUUG